CGGAGGAUCCAAGCGUUAUCCGGAUUUAUUGGGUUUAAAGGGUGCGUAGGCGGCUUAUUAAGUCAGGGGUGAAAGACGGUGGCUCAACCAUCGCAGUGCCUUUGAUACUGAUGAGCUUGAAUGAACUAGAGGUAGGCGGAAUGUGACAAGUAGCGGUGAAAUGCAUAGAUAUGUCACAGAACACCGAUUGCGAAGGCAGCUUACUAUGGUUUUAUUGACGCUGAGGCACGAAAGCGUGGGGAUCAAACAGGAUUAGAUACCCUGGUAGUCCACGCCCUAAACGAUGAAUACUCGCUGUUAGCGAUAUACAGUUAGCGGCUAAGCGAAAGCGUUAAGUAUUCCACCUGGGGAGUACGCCCGCAAGGGUG
rnacentral:rRNA from 1 species